GUGAAACAGGUGAGAUAGAAGGUGAGGAAUAGGGUGAAACAGGUGAGAUAGAAGGUGAGGAAUAGGGUGAAACAGGUGAGAUAGAAGGUGAGGUAUAGGGUGAAACAGGUGAGAUAGAAGGUGGGGAAUAGGGUGAAACAGGUGAGAUAGAAGGUGAGGUAUAGGGUGAAACAGGUGAGAUAGAAGGUGAGGUAUAGGGUGAAACAGGUGAGAUAGAAGGUGAGGUAUAGGGUGAGACAGGUGGGAUAGGGGUGAGGUAUGGGGUGAGACAGGUGAGGUAGAAGGUGAUGUAUAGGGUGAGACAGGUGGGAUAGGGGUGAGGUAUGGGGUGAGACAGGUGAGGUAGAAGGUGAGGUAUGGGGUGAGACAGGUUAGAUAGAAGGUGAGGUAUGGGGUGAGACAGGUGAGGUAGAAGGUGAGGUAUGGGGUGAGACAGGUUAGAUAGAAGGUGAGGUAUGGGGUGAGACAGGUGAGAUAGGGGUGAGACAGGUGGGAUAGGGGGUGAGGUAUGUGGUGAGACAGGUGGGAUAGGGGCUGAGGUAUGGGGUGAGAUAGAAGGUGAGGUAUGGGGUGAGACAGGUGGGAUAGGGGGUGAGGUAUGGGGUGAGACAGGUGAGAUAGAAGGUGAGGUAUGGG
ensembl:lncRNA